AUUGAACGCUGGCGGCAGGCCUAACACAUGCAAGUCGAGCGGAGCGGGGACGGGUGAGUAACACGUGGGUAACCUCCCAUCAGAGGGGAUAACACUUGGAAACAGGUGCUAAACCGAUACUGAUGGAUGGACCCGCGGUGCAUUAGCUAGUUGGUGAGGUAACGGCUCACCAAGGCCACGAUGCAUAGCCGACCUGGAAGGGUGAGCGGCCACACUGGGACUGAGAAACGGCCCAGAGUCCUACGGGAGGAAGCGGUAGGGAAUCUUCGGCAAGGGACGAAGGUCUGACCGAGCAACGCCGCGUGAGUGAAGAAGGUUUUCGGAUCGUAAAACUCUGUUGUUAGAGAAGCGGUAUCUAACCAGAAAGCCACGGCUAACUACGUGCCAGCAGCCGCGGUAAUUC
rnacentral:rRNA from 1 species